rnacentral:rRNA from 1 species
GUGAUGAAUAUUGGGCAAUGGGCGAAAGCCUGACCCAGCCACGCCGCGUGAGUGAUGAAGGCCUUCGGGUUGUAAAGCUCUGUGGGGAGGGAAGAAAAAGCGGGAGAGUAACUGCUCUCGUGUUGACGGUACCUCCUUAGCAAGCACCGGCUAACUCUGUGCCAGCAGCCGCGGUAAUACAGAGGGUGCAAACGUUGCUCGGAAUUACUGGGCGUAAAGCGCGUGUAGGCUGACAUGCAAGUCGGGUGUGAAAUCCCAGGGCUCAACCUUGGAACUGCACUCGAAACUGCACGUCUUGAGUACUGGAGAGGGAAGCGGAAUUCCGGGUGUAGAGGUGAAAUUCGUAGAUAUCCGGAGGAACACCAGUGGCGAAGGCGGCUUCCUGGACAGUAACUGACGCUGAGACGCGAAAGCGUGGGGAGCAAACAGGAUUAGAAACCCCGGUAGUCC